GAUGAACGCUGGCGGCGUGCCUAAUACAUGCAAGUCGAGCGAACAGAGGAGGAGCGUUCUCCUCUGACGUCAGCGGCGUACGUGUUACUAACACGUGUAUAACCUACCUAUGAGACUCUGAUAACUUCGGGAAACCGUAGCUAAUACCGGAUAAUAUAUUGAACGGGGGGGUUCAAUAGUUAGAGAGGGUUUUGCUGUCGCUUAUAGAUGGAUCCGCGCCUGAUUAGCUAGUUGGUAAGGUAACGGCUUACCAAGGCGACGAUGAGUAGCCGACCUGAGAGGGUGACCGGCCACACUGGAACUGAGACACGGUCCAGACUCCUACGGGAGGCAGCAGUAGGGAAUCUUGCGCAAUGGGCGCAAGCCUGAUGGAGCAACGCCGCGUGAAUGAUGAAGGUCUUCGGAUCGUAAACUUCUGUUAUUCGGGAAGAACAAAUGUGUAUGUAAAUCCGCAGGUCAUGACGGUACCGAAACAGAAAGCACCGGCUAACUACGUG
rnacentral:rRNA from 1 species